UACGAAGGGGCUAGCGUUGCUCGGAAUCACUGGGCGUAAAGCGCACGUAGGCGGACUCUUAAGUCGGUGGUGAAAUCCUGGAGCUCAACUGAGGAAGUGCGCCCGAAACUGCUUUGCUUGAGUGUCGGAGAGGAUGGCGGAAUUCCCCAAAGUUAGAGGUGAAAUUCGGUAGAUAUGGGGAGGAACACCGGUGGCGAAGGCGGCCAUCUGGACGACAACUGACGCUGAGAACGCGGAAAGCGUGGGUAGCAAACAGG
rnacentral:rRNA from 1 species